GCCCAGACUCCUACGGGAGGCAGCAGUGGGGAAUAUUGCACAAUGGGGGAAACCCUGAUGCAGCGACGCCGCGUGAAGGAAGAAGUAUUUCGGUAUGUAAACUUCUAUCAGCAGGGAAGAAAAUGACGGUACCUGACUAAGAAGCCCCGGCUAACUACGUGCCAGCAGCCGCGGUAAUACGUAGGGGGCAAGCGUUAUCCGGAUUUACUGGGUGUAAAGGGAGCGUAGACGGCAUGGCAAGUCAGAUGUGAAAGCCCGGGGCUCAACCCCGGGACUGCAUUUGAAACUGUCAGGCUGGAGUGCAGGAGAGGUAAGUGGAAUUCCUAGUGUAGCGGUGAAAUGCGUAGAUAUUAGGAGGAACACCAGUGGCGAAGGCGGCUUACUGGACUGUAACUGACGUUGAGGCUCGAAAGCGUGGGGAGCAAACAGGAUUAGAUACCCCGGUAGA
rnacentral:rRNA from 1 species